GCCCGGUUAGCUCAGUUGGUAGAGCAUCAGACUUUAAUGUGAGGGCCAUGGGUUCGAGUCCCAUAUCGGGCU
rnacentral:tRNA from 1 species